rnacentral:rRNA from 1 species
ACGCGUGAGAAUCUGGCUUCAGGUCGGGGACAACCACUGGAAACGGUGGCUAAUACCGGAUGAGCCUUUUGGUAAAAGAUUGCAUUGCCUGAAGAAGAGCUCGCGUCUGAUUAGCUAGUUGGUGUGGUAAGGGCGCACCAAGGCGACGAUCAGUAGCUGGUCUGAGAGGAUGAUCAGCCACACUGGGACUGAGACACGGCCCAGACUCCUACGGGAGGCAGCAGUGGGGAAUUUUCCGCAAUGGGCGAAAGCCUGACGGAGCAAUACCGCGUGAGGGAGGAAGGCUCUUGGGUUGUAAACCUCUUUUCUCAGGGAAGAUAAUGACGGUACCUGAGGAAUCAGCAUCGGCUAACUCCGUGCCAGCAGCCGCGGUAAUACGGAGGAUGCAAGCGUUAUCCGGAAUGAUUGGGCGUAAAGAGUCCGUAGGUGGCAUUUCAAGUCUGCUGUUAAAGGUCGGGGCUCAACUCCGAAAGAGCGGUGGAAACUGAAGAGCUAGAGGUUGGUAGGGGCAGAGGGAAUUCCCAGUGUAGCGGUGAAAUGCGUAGAGAUUGGGAAGAACACCGGUGGCGAAAGCGCUCUGCUGGACCAAGACUGACACUGAGGGACGAAAGCUAGGGGAGCGAAUGGGAUUAGAUACCCC